rnacentral:misc_RNA from 1 species
GGAAAAAGGAAGUGGAGGAUAAGGGUGACGUUGACCUUCUAGGCUUCUACGCCAAGUGGACGCUGGACAUCGUCACAAAGCUAGAUGACAGAGACCUGAAAGCUGAAAGUGGACUUCCGCUCUCUCUGUUCCCAGGUUUCUUACUCACAGAAGAAGCGUGGUGGAGAUCCCAGGUAUCAAUCAGCUUCUGCCUCCAAGCAGCCAAAAACAACGCCUUUCAUUUUACAAUAAAGAGAGUGGAAAAACACCCACGAUACAAAACUGCCUGGCAGCUAUUAUAUCACUGCUAUCUACCUUUUUCUGUUAUUAUUAUUAUCAUUAUUGUUGUUGCUUUUUGUUUAUCCAAUUCCAAUCCGUCUACCACUUUAAAAACUCUGCUUCUCUUGUGAAAUGGGAUGUACUGGAUCCUCACGGGCCAAGGGAGAUUGUAAUUUGUCACCGAUUCUUUAAUGGGUUCCCUUUGUUAUCCUUUUCUUUGAUCGAGUUCUUGUUUUGUUUAGUGUUCUCAAUCGGUUGUAUGUGUUAAAUUGAACUUUCUUGAUAUUUGCGACCUCUUUAUAUAACUUCUUUCUUUUCUAUGCUACUGGCAGAUUGAGUGUUGAUUGGCGGUGAACAUUCAGUGGUGGUUAAUAGAUUGUUUUGAGUUCUGUAGAAUACAUUUCAAUUAUUUCAAGGUUGAUUUCUUAUUCAACGAAUCUACCUGGAGUUGUCGCCACUUCUCUUUAAGCUUGACGCUUAAUUUGAGACCAGCUCCAGACAGUUCGAACUUUUGUGAUUUUGAUUAUGAAGUUAUGAUUGCAUUUGUUGGUUUUCAUUGCCUUGGAAAAUUUGCAGGGAGAAGAGAUGAAUUAAUGAAAUGCUUGAUGCCUAAGCUUGCCUAACAUUUUAUAAAAUUGUGAGUAACUCAUAAAGUUCUUUUUAAGUUAUCACACCUGCAUAGUGGCAGUUCUUCAGUGUGCAACUGCAGAAGAUAAAGCAACACGCAUCACAAUUACUUUAAAUCAUUGAUGUUGUCAAAAUGCAUAAAGUGCACAGUAUGAAAAUAAUUUAGGUUAGCUGGGAUGAGUAAUGCAAGUUAAUGAAUUAAUUAGAAUGGGUUCAUUUUAAACUUUUAUGGCAUUGCUCUUUCUGUAAUGCCUAUACAUCCCAUAAUCUGCUUAUGUUUGUUGCGUGCAUCAGAUUUUUUUUAUUUUUCACAUUGUUUAUAGGGCCCUAGUGUUUUUUCACUGAAUGUUGUACAUUAGUUUUUUUAAAACUCAUGGAGUUUACUAGUAGCUGAAACCUAGUCGACUUUAAUGAAUUAUUUGUUGCUCAUCCAUGCCUGCAGAGCAUGCUAAGAAAAUCUGGAAGCCCAAACCUUGGAAGCAUUCUAAGCCAAUCACAAGGACACAACUCCA